GGGGGCCCGCCCAAGCGGGGAGCAUGUGGUUUAUUUGGAAGCAACGCGAAGACCUUUACCAGGUCUUGACAUCCUCUGACAACCUUAGAGAUAGGGCUUUCCCUUUCGGGGGACAGAGUGACAGGUGGUGCAUGGUUGUCGUCAGCUCGUGUCGUGAGAUGUUGGGUUAAGUCCCGCAACGAGCGCAACCCUUGAUCUUAGUUGCCAGCAUUCAGUUGGGCACUCUAAGGUGACUGCCGGUGACAAACCGGAGGAAGGUGGGGAUGACGUCAAAUCAUCAUGCCCCUUAUGACCUGGGCUACACACGUGCUACAAUGGAUGGUACAAAGGGCUGCAAACCUGCGAAGGUAAGCGAAUCCCAUAAAGCCAUUCUCAGUUCGGAUUGCAGGCUGCAACUCGCCUGCAUGAAGCCGGAAUCGCUAGUAAUCGCGGAUCAGCAUGCCGCGGUGAAUACGUUCCCGGGCCUUGUACACACCGCCCGUCACACCACGAGAGUUUGUAACACCCGAAGUCGGUGUAGGUAACCUU
rnacentral:rRNA from 2 species